GACGAACGCUGGCGGCGUGCUUAACACAUGCAAGUCGAACGAGAAUCUAACAAACAGAGAUUUCGGUUGAAGUGAGUUAGAGGAAAGUGGCGAACGGGUGAGUAACGCGUGAGCAACCUGCCUUACACAAAGGGAUAGCCUCGGGAAACCGGGAUUAAUACCAUAUGAGACCCCGCUGUCGAAUGACAAAGAGGUUAAAGAUUUAUCGGUGUAAGAUGGGCUCGCGUCUGAUUAGCUAGUUGGUGAGAUAAAAGCUCACCAAGGCGACGAUCAGUAACCGGCUUGAGAGAGUGAACGGUCACAUUGGAACUGAGACACGGUCCAAACUCCUACGGGAGGCAGCAGUGGGGAAUAUUGCACAAUGGGGGAAACCCUGAUGCAGCGACGCCGCGUGAACGAAGAAGGCCUUCGGGUCGUAAAGUUCUGUCCUUGGAGAAGAUAAUGACGGUAACCAAGGAGGAAGCACCGGCUAAAUACGUGCCAGCAGCCGCCGUAACAC
rnacentral:rRNA from 1 species